GACGAACGCUGGCGGCGUGCUUAACACAUGCAAGUCGAACGGAAAGGCCCUGCUUUUGUGGGGUGCUCGAGUGGCGAAUGGGUGAGUAACACGUGAGUAACCUGCCCUUGACUUUGGGAUAACUUCAGGAAACUGGGGCUAAUACCGGAUAGGAGCUCCUGCUGCAUGGUGGGGGUGGAAAGUUUUCGGCGGUUGGGGAUGGACUCGCGGCUUAUCAGCUUGUUGGUGGGGUAGUGGCUUACCAAGGCUUUGACGGGUAGCCGGCCUGAGAGGGUGACCGGCCACAUUGGGACUGAGAUACGGCCCAGACUCCUACGGGAGGCAGCAGUGGGGAAUAUUGCACAAUGGGCGGAAGCCUGAUGCAGCAACGCCGCGUGCGGGAUGACGGCCUUCGGGUUGUAAACCGCUUUCGCCUGUGACGAAGCGUGAGUGACGGUAAUGGGUAAAGAAGCACCGGCUAACUACGUG
rnacentral:rRNA from 1 species